GCCCUGGAAAGCCACCUUGCUCCUUCUACCACAUGAGGACACAGCGAGAAGGGGCGGCUCUGAACCAGGAAGCUCACCAGACACCUUGAUCUUGGACUUCUCAGCCUCCAGAACUUUAUGAUAUUAAGAAGUGGGACCUCUGGAAGGUGAUUAGGUUAUGAAGGCAGAGCCAUCAUGAAUGGGAUUAGUGCUUUUAUAGAAGAAGCCCCAGAGAGCUGCCUCACCCCUUCCACCAUGUAAAAACAGCCAGAAGGUGUCAUCUAUGAACAAGGCUACGUGCUCUCAUCAGACAUCAAAUCUUCUGGCACCUGGAUUUUUCACUUCCCAGCCUCUAGAACUAUAAUAAAUUUUUGUUGCUUAUAAGCCCCCUGUUUGUGCUAUUUUGUUAUAGUACCCUUAAUAGACUAAGAUACCUUUCUAGACAGAGAGGAGAUCGAUGGCAGACAUUCUCAGAUAGGUUUGUAGCUAUUGACCUGGCUCCAUCCAAAGGAGAUGAAAUCCUUUGGAACUGACAGCUUCUAUGAAACUUACCAUCAAAAAGGCAUAAGAACAACUGCUGUAGCUUCAGAGAUAUGCAGAAAAUAAAAUGUCAACAGCUGGGAAAAAAAAUUCUAAGUGAGCAAUGGAGCCAAUGAAAAAUGUCACCAGUAGAGCAGGCACCUGAGACAGGGCAAUGUCACCCGCUAAGUGCAGGUCUACAGGGGGAGACCUUGCAGACCAUUUAUGGAUCCCAAGUUAUCAAAACCCUUAUUUGAUUAUAAACUUCACAGUAGAUGUCAAUAUAUCAGGGUAUCGUCUCCAUGUUAAUGUCAGCAUGUGCUGAUUGUAUUGUGGUCAUGUCGAAGAAUGCCCUGUUCGUAAGUGAUGUGUGGGAAAAUAUUUGGGGGUGAAGUGUCAUGAUGCUUCCUACUUAUUUUCACAUGCUUUGGCAAAAAUAAAACAUCUAUCUCUCUCUCUCCAGG